rnacentral:sRNA from 1 species
UAAAUUAUUUUAGUCAAACUACAAUUAAUGAUAAGUACACGUGUCAUCAAAGUAGAGUGCCAAAUGUCGCAUUGGUAGGCAAUAGAAAAAACCUUCUCUUAUUAUAUAAGAUUUGUAGUUUAAGUUUAUACC